rnacentral:rRNA from 1 species
AUUGAACGCUGGCGGCAGGCCUAACACAUGCAAGUCGAGCGGUAGAGAGGUGCUUGCAUCUCUUGAGAGCGGCGGACGGGUGAGUAAUGCCUAGGAAUCUGCCUAGUGGUGGGGGAUAACGUUCGGAAACGGACGCUAAUACCGCAUACGUCCUACGGGAGAAAGCGGGGGAUCUUCGGACCUCGCGCCAUUAGAUGAGCCUAGGUCGGAUUAGCUAGUUGGUGAGGUAAUGGCUCACCAAGGCGACGAUCCGUAACUGGUCUGAGAGGAUGAUCAGUCACACUGGAACUGAGACACGGUCCAGACUCCUACGGGAGGCAGCGAGUGGGGAAUAGUUGGACAAUGGCGAAAGCCUGAUCCAGCCAUGCCGCGUGUGUGAAGAAGGUC